ensembl:lncRNA
GAAGUUUCAGGGUAUACGUAAAGACAGCAGAAAAGAGGAGAGGCAGACAAGUGGGGGACAGAAAGAAAAACCAGGUGUAACUGUGGUAAGAAGCUCUCCCAGGGGAAAGCUGCUGACGUACUCCACAACUCUAAUAGUGUUUUUAUACUAUGGGUGCUUGGAGAUCGGUCCUAUGUUGAUGAAGAGAUGCAUUCUUUCUGACAUAGCCACAUUUCUCACUUGACAAGAAGGCAUUGUUAAUAAGCCGUAUAUACGACUUGGAUAAGCAAGCCAUUCGCCUCCAGAACGGUCCUCUUCUACUUCAAUACCUCUGCCUGUUGGAUAGGCUUGACCUGAACAGUGGUCAGCAACAAAAAGGAAAUAUUUCUUGCACUGGACAAGAAGGGCAACAGAUAUAAUUUAUCUGGACUUAUGCAAGGCCUUUGACAGAGACCAACACCAGUUUGUUAUCUCUCUAUAUUGGAGAGCUGUGGAUUUGAAGGCUGGGCUACUUGAUGGACAAAGAAUUUGUUGGAUGAUUGCAGUCAGAAGGAUGUGGCCAAUGGCUCUGUGUCCAAGUGGAGGAAGUUUCAGACAGCCACACAGAAUUUUACAAUUGCACCACGCAGACAGACUCUUGUUCAUCACUGGCAAAAGUAAAUAGUUUAUGGUAGUGACUAUGCUGAAAAAUAGUGUUCUGUAGCUGAAAAUUUGCUCUGACAAAUAGUGUUAUUGUGAUCUUUCUAGCUACUGUAGUUUCCAUGGGAAUAAGUAGGAGGUAUUACUUUCAGAGCAGUCUCUGUAUUUAGGCUCUAAUUGAACAAAAAUAUGUGUACUAAUAUCUUUGCAUGGCAAUAUGCAUUAUCUAAGUAUUGCAAUCAGAAUAUUCUGUCAUACUUGCCAAUUUACUGGGAUCUGUUGUGUUUCUGAUGAAUACUGACAAAAACAAACUGCAGUUCCCUUAGAGACUGCUGAUAUAUUUGAACUUUUGUCUGCUCAAAAAAAAGGUAGAGUAAUAAAUUAUGUGAGUUCUGACUCGUUUAAACCCUGUGGCUAUGUCCCACAAGCAAUAUCUACAUUUUAAUAUAGAAAUGUGAAUAUUUGAGUUGUUACCAACAGCAGUGGGC